AAGAGGAGGAGGGCGGUGAUAAUGAAGAUGAAGGAUCGUUGUGGCUUUUGUCCCCACCUCCGCCAGCCUCCCCUCAUCUUCCAGAGAUACCGCCUCCUUCGCUAUAACCCUCCAAUCAAAACACCGGACGGAGAUGGGCUGGAGGAUGAAUGGGAGGACAUAGAGGACAUCAGGGUACACAGGCGGGUGGACAUGGAGGCAGGAGAAGGAGAAACUGCACUGUGAUGAUGGUAUUCAAGACUGUGAUGUCUUCCACAAAGUCUCAGUUAACCUGAUGUGAUGUUCCAGAAAAUGGUAAUGAUUGAAGCGGGGCUUUCUGUAGGUUUCAGGUUAAGUAUUUAGAGUUAGUUGGGUGUGUGUGUGAUUUUAGUCACAAGUCAACUUAAAAUGCCCCAUCAGUGGAUCAGAAAAUAAGGAUCAGCACUAAUGGACUUUCCUCUGGACGCCUCUUGAUUAUAACACUGUUGAUCACAGCUUUUGCCCGUAAUUAGUAGCCUUGUCUGUGAGCGUGUAAACAUUUCCAGCCUCUAAAGUGGGCCCCUGAUUUUUCACAGCACCAGUUGUAAUCGAGGGGAAUUGCAUCACUUCUAAAGGCUUUGAUAUAUUUUGUAUAAUUUGCACUUUAUUAAAUCCAUGCAAUGUGGCUAGUAAUGGCCCAGUAAUUGUGGUGUGAGACUGUUUGUUUACAGC
rnacentral:lncRNA from 1 species